AUUGAACGCUGGCGGCAGGCUUAACACAUGCAAGUCGAGCGGGGUGAUGGUGCUUGCACUAUCACUUAGCGGCGGACGGGUGAGUAAUGCUUAGGAAUCUGCCUAUUAGUGGGGGACAACAUCUCGAAAGGGAUGCUAAUACCGCAUACGUCCCACGGGAGAAAGCAGGGGAUCACUUGUGACCUUGCGCUAAUAGAUGAGCCUAAGUCGGAUUAGCUAGUUGGUGGGGUAAAGGCCUACCAAGGCGACGAUCUGUAGCGGGUCUGAGAGGAUGAUCCGCCACACUGGGACUGAGACACGGCCCAGACUCCUACGGGAGGCAGCAGUGGGGAAUAUUGGACAAUGGGGGGAACCCUGAUCCAGCCAUGCCGCGUGUGUGAAGAAGGCCUUAUGGUUGUAAAGCACUUUAAGCGAGGAGGAGGCUCUUUUGGUUAAUACCCAAGAUGAGUGGACGUUACUCGCAGAAUAAGCACCGGCUAACUCUGUGCCAGCCGCCGCUGUUAAAA
rnacentral:rRNA from 1 species